AAAAGUGAAAGACGGUCUUGCUGUCACUUAUAGAUGGAUCCGCGCUGCAUUAGCUAGUUGGUAAGGUAACGGCUUACCAAGGCAACGAUGCAUAGCCGACCUGAGAGGGUGAUCGGCCACACUGGAACUGAGACACGGUCCAGACUCCUACGGGAGGCAGCAGUAGGGAAUCUUCCGCAAUGGGCGAAAGCCUGACGGAGCAACGCCGCGUGAGUGAUGAAGGUCUUCGGAUCGUAAAACUCUGUUAUUAGGGAAGA
rnacentral:rRNA from 1 species